rnacentral:rRNA from 1 species
AGCGAACGCUGGCGGCAGGCCUAACACAUGCAAGUCGAACGAACUCUUCGGAGUUAGUGGCGGACGGGUGAGUAACACGUGGUAACGUGCCUUUUGGUUCGGAAUAACCCAGGGAAACUUGUGCUAAUACCGAAUGUGCCCUUCGGGGGAAAGAUUUAUCGCCAUUAGAGCGGCCCGCGUCUGAUUAGCUAGUUGGUGAGGUAACGGCUCACCAAGGCGACGAUCAGUAGCUGGUCUGAGAGGAUGACCAGCCACACUGGGACUGAGACACGGCCCAGACUCCUACGGGAGGCAGCAGUGGGGAAUCUUGCGCAAUGGGCGAAAGCCUGACGCAGCCAUGCCGCGUGAAUGAUGAAGGUCUUAGGAUUGUAAAAUUCUUUCACCGGGGACGAUAAUGACGUUACCCGGAGAAGAAGCCCCGGCUAACUUCGUG